CUUACUUUCAGGGGAGGCCUUAUAUUUUGCAAUUCAGCAAAACUUCUACUAGGUCUUAUUUUUCGGGGAUGUCUUAUUUUCAGGGAAACAGGGUAAAAAACUGUGCAGGCUGCUAAACAUAUUAGUGUAAUAGGAUUGGGUGAACACAUCGUAUUUGGUUUUAUUGUCAUCUGCUCUUGCUGAGAUAUUGCCACCUGCAGAAAGAGCAGUGAAACAUAACAGAGGCUGACCAAUGCUUCAGUCAUUUGGUAAGAUACUAUCGUUACAGAAAAGGUUAAGCACCAUCCUUCUACGAGUAACGACCUCAUCAGACGGGGCUUGCUUUGGUGGCAUAUGCCAGUUCUGCCCUUGUUGACCCAUGGAGCUCACCGUCUCCAUCUCAUGACACAAAGAAACUUCCAGUGGGGCUCUGGGGGUCAUCUAGUACGGAACAAGUGUAUAGCACCACGGCUAUACACUGGGGAGGGAGGGGACAAGUACAGUCAACACUUCCCCUCAUGGCAUCAGCUUAAAGGUAAGCCAGGCAUUGCGGGGUGUGGGGCGAUGGAUUCUACAUGCCCCCAACAACAGUUGCCGGAUUCACUACGAUGCGUGGCAAUUCCAGCAGCUCAUGUGAAAAGUGAAAGAUGUUAUAGCCCUCAAUGCCUACAUUCCAGUGAUUCCAGUGAUUCAUCCCACCACGUUUCAGUGAUGUCUAUGACAUCGUAAGUAUAGUGUUGUGCUAAAAGUUGGAAUUCAUCUUGUUUAUCAUAAAGA
rnacentral:lncRNA from 11 species